AUACGGAGGGUGCAAGCGUUAAUCGGAAUUACUGGGCGUAAAGCGUACGUAGGCGGUUAUUUAAGUCAGAUGUGAAAGCCCCGGGCUUAACUUGGGAACUGCAUUUGAAACUGGGUAACUAGAGUUUAGUAGAGGGGAGUGGAAUUUCAGGUGUAGCGGUGAAAUGCGUAGAGAUCUGAAGGAACACCAGUGGCGAAGGCGACUCCCUGGACUAGAACUGACGCUGAGGUACGAAAGCGUGGGUAGCAAACAGGAUUAGAAACCCUAGUAGUCC
rnacentral:rRNA from 1 species